rnacentral:rRNA from 1 species
UACAGAGGUCUCAAGCGUUGUUCGGAUUCAUGGGGCGUAAAGGGUGCGUAGGUGGCGCUGUAAGUCAGGUGUGAAAUCUCGGGGCUCAACCCCGAAACUGCACUUGAUACUGCGGUGCUCGAGUACUGGAGAGGAGAUUGGAAUUUACGGUGUAGCAGUGAAAUGCGUAGAUAUCGUAAGGAAGACCAGUGGCGAAGGCGAAUCUCUGGACAGUUACUGACACUGAGGCACGAAGGCCAGGGGAGCAAACGGG